rnacentral:rRNA from 1 species
UACGGGGGGAGCAAGCGUUGUUCGGAUUUACUGGGCGUAAAGGGCGCGUAGGCGGUCAGCACAAGUCAGUUGUGAAAUCUCCGGGCUUAACUCGGAAAGGUCAACUGAUACUGUGCGACUAGAGUGCGGAAGGGGCAACUGGAAUUCUUGGUGUAGCGGUGAAAUGCGUAGAGCUCGGGAAGAACAUCGGUGGCGAAAGCGCUCUACUGGACUGCAACUGACACUCAGGGACGAAAGCUAGGGGAGCGAAUGGG